rnacentral:tRNA from 1 species
GCGUUCAUGGUGUAACUGGAAGCACUCUCGACUCGUAUUCGGGAGGUCCUGAGUUCGAAUCCUGGCGAGGGCA